AGUGAAGCGGUAAAAGCUCAAAUUUUGAAAUCUGGUACUUUCAGUGCCCGAGUUGUAAUUUGUAGAAUUUGUCUUUGAUUAGGUCCUUGUCUAUGUUCCUUGGAACAGGACGUCAUAGAGGGUGAGAAUCCCGUUUGGCGAGGAUACCUUUUCUCUGUAAGACUUUUUCGAAGAGUCGAGUUGUUUGGGAAUGCAGCUCAAAGUGGGUGGUAAAUUCCAUCUAAAGCUAAAUAUUGGCGAGAGACCGAUAGCGAACAAGUACAGUGAUGGAAAGAUGAAAAGAACUUUGAAAAGAGAGUGAAAAAGUACGUGAAAUUGUUGAAAGGGAAGGGCAUUUGAUCAGACAUGGUGUUUUUUGCAUGCACUCGCCUCUCGUGGGCUUGGGCCUCUCAAAAAUUUCACUGGGCCAACAUCAAUUCUGGCAGCAGGAUAAAUCAUUAAGAACGUAGCUACCUCGGUAGUGUUAUAGCUUUUUGGAAUACUGCUAGCUGGGAUUGAGGACUGCGCUUCGGCAAGGAUGUUGGCAUAAUGGUUAAAUGCCGC
rnacentral:rRNA from 1 species